GCCAUCCCACUCCUCGAUACCUUCGCUAAUUAGGUGCUCACCUACGAGCGGUUUCUACUUUGAACGAGGAGGGCGCGGUGAGUGGUGGGGCUCGACGGCGUGAUGCUCGACGGAGAUUGUUGCCGCCCCUGUCCUCCUCUCCCCGUACACCAAUUAGGAGGUGACAGUGGCUGCGUCCGCCGCGGUGGAAGGGCGGAGGGGACGACAAUUUGAGCUGCGGCGACCGGCACCGCUGGCCACUGCAAAAUCCAGCCCUACAGUAACGGAGAAGCCUCUAGCGACAAGAACACGGUGGUGACUGCCAUCCUCCGAACUGCUGAUGAGGGAGAUUAGAAGAAGCUGGACGGGAAUGGGCUUUUUAUCAAACAAGAAGAGAAGUAGUACAAGGCUCCUGAGGAGAAAACACAAGGUUAUCUUCUUCGAUCCAGCCAAAUAUGGUAGCUCUGUCUCUUCUCUGGUUUAGAUUAUUCGUCCCUUCCUUUCUUUGAGCUCCACUGUUUUUGGAUGAACUGGACUAGCCCCUCUUUAAUCAAUUAAUUUCUCAUGGAAAGAAGGUAACGUUAGAAGAUAAUUGGAGCGUGCUUAAUUAGUUGUUCCUCUUUUCUGAUGGGGGCUGCAUCAUUUUUCUUUAUGAGAGAACCCCUAUUCCAGUGUAGGCUCUCUACUUGCUAUUGGAGAGAAAGAAAUUAAGUAGGACUAAUUAAGCAUGAUGACAUGUCUACCUAUAUUUAAUUAAACAUGAUGGGUUGCUUCCAUGUAAUUUGUAGUUAUUAGGUUGGAUGAUGAUUUACUCAUAUAAUUAGUUGUUGUACUUUGCUAGUUUUUCAUUUCUCAUUUGGUAACAGGAUAAAUUAAGCUCCAAGUAUAUGUAUCAAAAGAUAAAGAAACAUUAAUGCUCCACAACUUAUAGAGAAAUAUGCAUGUGACUGCCUGAAUGCUUGAUGCUGUUUGAGACUGGCAAAAGCUAGCUAGCAUACAUAUAGUCAAAAAGGGUCAUAUCAUCUAGAACAAAAGGUAGGCAUGAUGCUCAGUGUCUUUCUUUAAUUGAUACUAAUUAAUUCUGAAGCUGCAGAGGUGUCAUUCCUUUGUUUUGAUUGCCUAAUGAUUCCUUCCUGUCCUCAUUUGAUAUCCAAGCUGCUGAGGAGACACAUACAUACUAAUUAAUUCUGAAGCUAUAGAGGUAUCCUUAUUCGUGGUAAGAAUUUAGUAUGCGUAGCACAUGGAUGUAUGCUUGCACUGAUGUAUGCCUAUUUAGAACAGGGAAUGAAUGAGCAAAUACUCCAACUGCCUAUGUACGUGUUGCUUCUGAUUCUAGUUUUCUGACAUUGAUUUACGACAUGUGGUGUGAAUUAUUAUGCAGACAAUCAUCGUACCUAACGUGUUGAUGUGCACAUUGUAAGGAAACCGAAGAAGUUUCUUUGGGCAGAUGCACAACAAAGCAAUGCCACGUAGCCGGAACUUCUGACUAAUGCUUUGCCUUUCUCCUUGUCAAUUUUUUCCAUAUCCUAUUUUGGAUGCUUCUUACUGAAUACAGCUGCCAUUUCAGAUAUGAACUAUUCACCAUUGGGACGAGAAAUCCAUAGCUUCUGCAGUUCUAUCUGGAUAAGGCAUUUUGAAAGGAAACAACAGUCUAUCAUUGAAGUGUUGUGCAACGGAAAUAGUUCAGACUGCCUCAUGUAGUUUGUUACACAAAUUAACUAAUUUUUUUUUGCAAAUGAGGCCACGGUAGUAGUUCUUAUGGACAAAUGUGUGUGUGGCGGCAUCUAUUUUAGACCCCUUUGUGUUCCCAGCUUUUUGGAGUCACCGGGACAUGCCUUUUGUGUCAGGAUUCAUAUUUUAUGAUGGCGCCUAGAUUUCUUCCGUGACACAAUGUAUUUGUCACCUAGAAUUUUUAUCUGGCAUAAUGUAUUUUACAUUCCAUUUA